rnacentral:misc_RNA from 1 species
GCAAACUUGGUCAUUUAGAGGAAGUAAAAGUCGUAACAAGGUUUCCGUAGGUGAACCUGCGGAAGGAUCAUUACCGAGUGAGGGCCCUCCGGGUCCAACCUCCCACCCGUGUUGACCGUACCGUGUUGCUUCGGCGGGCCCGCCGUCUGGCCGCCGGGGGGCGUUUGCCCCCGGGCCCGCGCCCGCCGAAGACCCCUGUGAACGCUGUCUGAAGCUUGCAGUCUGAGCGAAAACGCAUAAUCAGUUAAAACUUUCAACAACGGAUCUCUUGGUUCCGGCAUCGAUGAAGAACGCAGC